AAAAUUUUGAAUAAUUCUACUAAAUCUACAAUCAUGGAAAAGACAAUAAUUUUAAUUUCAGUUGUUUGUAUACUGUUUGGUGCUUCGAUUUGUUCGGGUUCACCAUUAUUAGCUGUUAGUGAUGAUCUUAAAGGUGUCAGUUUACAAGGUGCUCCAGCGAACGGUCGGGAUUGUCAACGUGGUGCUCGCACAUCCGGUAUGGCAACUAGUGCACCCUCAACAUCAUCUUCAACAGCAUCUUCUGGUUAAAUAUGACUAACACAAAUAAAAUGCUAUACACAGUUUAACCAAAUUCAAAAUUUUUGGAGUUAUAAUUCUUUUCCGACGUUUGUAUCAGAUUGAAAAUUUACUUUUGAUAUUAAAUUUAAUUAUUAUUAUGGUGUUAACCUACUGAAUUUUAAAAGGCAGGCUCACACUAACACUACACCGAAAAAAAAAACCAAUAUCAAUUUAACAUUUUUUAAAUAUCAAAUUAACAUUUCUUAAAUAUCAGCCAAAAAUGCUCUAUAAAAUGUGUUUAAUGAUAUUUAAAAUGUUAAAACAACAUUUUUAUUAUCAGGAUGAUAUUUAAAUGUCACAUUUUGGAAUUUUUUUUUGAUAUUUUAUUAUCAUUUUUUCAUAUCAAUUUCUCAUUCCAAAUUAUUGAAAAAUAUUAAAUACAAAAUUCUUAAUGUGUACUAAUUUAAAGGCGCGUUGUGUUUUUUCGAAGUAAAAUGUAUGAUUUACUGAUAAAAUUUGAUCGGCACUAAGAUUUUACUUCACAUAGUUUGGGAGAAAAUAACAAAACAAUUAUA